rnacentral:tRNA from 1 species
AGCCUAUUAGCUCAAUUUGGUAGAGCUAUGUGUAAUUGCACAUGAUGUAGGUUCGAAUCCUACAUAGGCUA